UGCAGUCGAACGGUAAGGCCCUUCGGGGUACACGAGUGGCGAACGGGUGAGUAACACGUGGGUGAUCUGCCCUGCACUUUGGGAUAAGCCUGGGAAACUGGGUCUAAUACCGAAUACACCUCUCUGGCUGCAUGGCUGGUGGGGGAAAGCUUUUGCGGUGUGGGAUGGGCCCGCGGCCUAUCAGCUUGUUGGUGGGGUGAUGGCCUACCAAGGCGACGACGGGUAGCCGGCCUGAGAGGGUGUCCGGCCACACUGGGACUGAGAUACGGCCCAGACUCCUACGGGAGGCAGCAGUGGGGAAUAUUGCACAAUGGGCGCAAGCCUGAUGCAGCGACGCCGCGUGGGGGAUGACGGCCUUCGGGUUGUAAACCCCUUUCAGCACAGACGAAGCGCAAGUGACGGUAUGUGCAGAAGAAGCACCGGCCAACUACGUGCCAGCAGCCGCGGUAAUACGUAGGGUGCGAGCGUUGUCCGGAAUUACUGGGCGUAAAGAGCUCGUAGGUGGUUUGUCGCGUUGUUCGUGAAAACUCACAGCUCAACUGUGGGCGUGCGGGCGAUACGGGCAGACUAGAGUACUGCAGGGGAGACUGGAAUUCCUGGUGUAGCGGUGGAAUGCGCAGAUAUCAGGAGGAACACCGGUGGCGAAGGCGGGUCUCUGGGCAGUAACUGACGCUGAGGAGCGAAAGCGUGGGGAGCGAACAGGAUUAGAUACCCUGGUAGUCCACGCCGUAAACGGUGGGUACUAGGUGUGGGUUUCCUUCCUUGGGAUCCGUGCCGUAGCUAACGCAUUAAGUACCCCGCCUGGGGAGUACGGCCGCAAGGCUAAAACUCAAAGAAAUUGACGGGGGCCCGCACAAGCGGCGGANCAUGUGGAUUAAUUCGAUGCAACGCGAAGAACCUUACCUGGGUUUGACAUGCACAGGACGCUGGUAGAGAUAUCAGUUCCCUUGUGGCCUGUGUGC
rnacentral:rRNA from 1 species